UGGGGAAUCUUGCGCAAUGGGCGAAAGCCUGACGCAGCAACGCCGCGUGCGGGAUGAAGGCCUUCGGGUUGUAAACCGCUUUCAGCAGGGAAGAAAUUGACGGUACCUGCAGAAGAAGCCCCGGCCAACUACGUGCCAGCAGCCGCGGUAACACGUAGGGGGCGAGCGUUGUCCGGAUUUAUUGGGCGUAAAGAGCUCGUAGGCGGUUCGCUAAGUCGGGUGUGAAACCUCCAGGCUCAACCUGGAGACGCCACCUGAUACUGGUGUGACUAGAGUCCGGUAGGGGAGUGUGGAACUCCUGGUGUAGCGGUGAAAUGCGCAGAUAUCAGGAAGAACACCAGCGGCGAAGGCGGCACUCUGGGCCGGUACUGACGCUGAGGAGCGAAAGCGUGGGUAGCAAACA
rnacentral:rRNA from 1 species